rnacentral:rRNA from 1 species
GGGUUGUGAGGUUAAGCGAACAAGCGUACACGGUGGAUGCCCUGGCAGUCAGAGGCGAUGAAGGACGUGCUAAUCUGCGAAAAGCGCCGGUAAGGUGAUAUGAACCGUUAUAACCGGCGAUGUCCGAAUGGGGAAACCCGGUGCACUUCGGUGCAUCAUCGUUAGCUGAAUACAUAGGCUAACGAGGCGAACCGGGGGAACUGAAACAUCUAAGUACCCCGAGGAAAAGAAAUCAACCGAGAUUCCCCCAGUAGCGGCGAGCGAACGGGGAACAGCCCAGAGCCUGAAUCAGCUUGUGUGUCAGUGGAACGGUCUGGAAAGGCCGGCGAUACAGGGUGACAGCCCCGUACACGAAGGCACACAGGCUGUGAGCUCGAUGAGUAGGGCGGGACACGUGAUAUCCUGUCUGAAGAUGGGGGGACCAUCCUCCAAGGCUAAAUACUCCUGACUGACCGAUAGUGAACCAGUACCGUGAGGGAAAGGCGAAAAGAACCCCGGCGAGGGGAGUGAAACAGAACCUGAAACCGUGUACGUACAAGCAGUGGGAGCCUUCGUAAGAGGGUGACUGCGUACCUUUUGUAUAAUGGGUCAGCGACUUAUAUUCUGUAGCAAGGUUAACCGUAUAGGGGAGCCGAAGGGAAACCGAGUCUUAACCGGGCGUUAAGUUGCAGGGUAUAGACCCGAAACCCGGUGAUCUAGCCAUGGGCAGGUUGAAGGUUGGGUAACACUAACUGGAGGACCGAACCGACUAAUGUUGAAAAAUUAGCGGAUGACCUGUGGCUGGGGGUGAAAGGCCAAUCAAACCGGGAGAUAGCUGGUUCUCCCCGAAAGCUAUUUAGGUAGCGCCUCGUGAAUUCAUCUCCGGGGGUAGAGCACUGUUUCGGCUAGGGGGCCAUCCCGGCUUACCAACCCGAUGCAAACUGCGAAUACCGGAGAAUGUUAUCACGGGAGACACACGGCGGGUGCUAACGUCCGUCGUGAAGAGGGAAACAACCCAGACCGCCAGCUAAGGUCCCAAAGUCAUGGUUAAGUGGGAAACGAUGUGGGAAGGCCCAGACAGCCAGGAUGUUGGCUUAGAAGCAGCCAUCAUUUAAAGAAAGCGUAAUAGCUCACUGGUCGAGUCGGCCUGCGCGGAAGAUGUAACGGGGCUAAACCAUGCACCGAAGCUGCGGCAGCGACACUAUGUGUUGUUGGGUAGGGGAGCGUUCUGUAAGCCUGUGAAGGUGUGCUGUGAGGCAUGCUGGAGGUAUCAGAAGUGCGAAUGCUGACAUAAGUAACGAUAAAGCGGGUGAAAAGCCCGCUCGCCGGAAGACCAAGGGUUCCUGUCCAAC